AUUGAACGCUGGCGGCGUGCCUAACACAUGCAAGUCGAGCGGUAACAGGUGUACGCGAAUACAUGCUGACGAGCGGCGAACGGGUGAGUAAUGCUUUGGAAUCUUCCCGAGUAGUGGGGAAUAACCAGUCGAAAGAUUGGCUAAUACCGCAUACGUCUGUAAAGGGAAAGCGGGGGACUCGCCUCUUCUUCGGAAGAGAGGCCUCGCGCUAUUGGAUGAGCCAAAGCGGAUUAGCUAGUUGGUGGGUAAUGGCCUACCAAGGCGACAAUCCGUAGCUGGUCUGAGAGGACGACCAGCCACACCGGAACUGAGACACGGUCCGGACUCCUACGGGAGGCAGCAGU
rnacentral:rRNA from 1 species